GACGAACGCUGGCGGCGUGCUUAAUACAUGCAAGUGGAGCGACGAACCAGGCUUCGGCCUGGGGCAGAGCCGCGAACGGGUGAGUAACACGUGGGUAACCUGCCUCGAUGACCGGGACAACCCGGGGAAACCCGGGCUAAUACCGGAUGUGCUGUCCCCACAUCAGUGGAGACAGGAAAGGAAGCUUCGGCCUCCGCAUCGAGAUGGGCCCGCGGCCCAUUAGCUUGUUGGUGUGGUAACGGCUCACCAAGGCUGCGAUGGGUAGCUGGUCUGAGAGGACGAUCAGCCACACUGGGACUGAGACACGGCCCAGACUCCUACGGGAGGCAGCAGUAGGGAAUCUUGCGCAAUGCGCGAAAGCGUGACGCAGCAACGCCGCGUGGGGGAAGAAGGCCU
rnacentral:rRNA from 1 species